AUGCAGACGUGCAGUGAGCUGGCUUUUCUGGAAGAAGGACUGCAAGGAAAAGCCCAGAGGGCUUCCAAAACAAUGAAGACAAUCGAGAUUAUCUCCAGCCCUCUUAAACCUGCACGGGCACACCUGGAAGGGAGGGCUGUGCUUGGGGUGAUCACUGUGACAGCAUCAUUGCCAGGGACAUAAUUCAGUAUCUGUACUUCUGAAUCACUCUUUCCCCUGACUUUGCUGCUCUGCCCAUAAACCACACUCUCUUGGUCUCAGCCACCCUCAUGACCCAUCCAUAAGUGAAUGAUUGCUACUAUUUCAAGGGGCUUUGUUCCCUACGUCCACAAAGACGUACCAGACGUGGCGACUUUCUCAUAACUAAUUCCCUUGUCCCAGUCCUUGCCGGUGCAAUCAGGACACUCCGCCAGGUUAAUCUCCCUAAAGCAAUGCCUUUCGUGAGCUGUAGCCUUACUCAAAAGCAAUGAGAAGCUCUCCGUGUUUAUCUAUUGCCGGAGCAGCUUACAGACACCAAAUAUCCCCAGCAGUACCGGUUUCCCGACAGUAGUCCGUGGCAGGGGAAGAGGACAGACUUUGGAUCUCAG
rnacentral:lncRNA from 1 species